rnacentral:lncRNA from 1 species
CGAUUACUCAUCCCAUCAUUACCAUUCUCCUGAGUCAUCCAGGCUGGCUCAUAUUGGUUCCAAAUGAAUAAGAGUCUUCAGGCAGUGGACUCGAGGGCCAAGAUUUCCAACCGGAUGUUUCUGUUUGCAGUGUUGGGGAGUCCUGGAAAGGUUGACUUUCCUAGUGUUCCUGAUGCUUUUGGAAGAACCGAACUUGUUGG